AGCGAACGCUGGCGGCAGGCUUAACACAUGCAAGUCGAGCGCCCCGCCAGGGGAGCGGCCGACGGGAGAGUAACACGUGGGAACAUACCUUUUGGUUCGGAACAACUGAGGGAAACUUCAGCCAAUACCGGAUAAGCCCUUACGGGGAAAGAUUUAUCGCCGAAAGAUUGGCCCGCGGCUGAUUAGCUACUUGGUGAGGUAACGGCUCACCAAGGCGACGAUCAGUAGCUGGUCUGAGAGGAUGAUCAGCCUCACUGGGACUGAGACACGGCCCAGACUCCUACGGGAGGCAACAGUGGGGAAUAUUGGACAAUGGGGGCAACCCUGAUCCAGCCAUGCCGCGUGAGUGAUGAAGGCCUUAGGGUUGUAAAGCUCUUUUGCCCGGGAAGAUAAUGACGGUACCGGGAGAAUAAGCCCCGGCUAACUUCGUG
rnacentral:rRNA from 1 species